GUUUGUGGCAAGACCUUCUCAAUCUCGUCAGACGUCAGAAACUAAGGAGAGCUGGGCCUGGUUAGUGCUUGGAUGGGAGACCACUGGGAAUUCCAGGUGCCACAGAAA
rnacentral:rRNA from 1 species